rnacentral:rRNA from 1 species
ACGAACGCGGGCGGCGUGCGUAACACAUGCAAGUCGAACGGAAAGGCCCCUUUGGGGGUACUCGAGUGGCGAACGGGUGAGUAACACGUGAGUAACCUGCCCUUGACUUCGGGAUAACUUCAGGAAACUGGGGCUAAUACCGGAUAGGAAUCCUUGCUGCAUGGUGGGGGUUGGAAAGCUUCGGCGGUUUUGGAUGGACUCGCGGCUUAUCAGCUUGUUGGUGGGGUAGUGGCUUACCAAGGCUUUGACGGGUAGCCGGCCUGAGAGGGCGACCGGCCACAUUGGGACUGAGAUACGGCCCAGACUCCUACGGGAGGCAGCAGUGGGGAAUAUUGCACAAUGGGCGGAAGCCUGAUGCAGCAACGCCGCGUGCGGGAUGACGGCCUUCGGGUUGUAAACCGCUUUCAGCAGGGGCGAAGCUUGUGGUGACGGUACCUGCAGAAGAAGCACCGGCUAACUACGUG